GCGCAGACCACCUCGGGCCUCCGCGGGCGGCGUCAGAGUGAGUUUUGGGUUGAGGACCCCGUCUGAUUGGGCUUCUUGGGGUCGGUGGACCCCCUGAAAUAGUAUGAAAACCCCCUCCUUCGAGGACUAGGUGCAGGACUGGGCUUGGGAACCCAGCGUCGAGCAGGGACUAUGAAGGGUGCCAAAAGAGUGAAUGAUUUGGCCGGGCGCGGUGGCUCAAGCCUGUAAUCCCAGCACUUCGGGAGGCCGAGGUGGGCAGAUCACAAGGUCAGGAGAUCGAGACCAUCCUGGCUAACACAGUGAAACCCUGUCUCUACUAAAAAUACAAAAAAAAAAAAAAAAUUUGCCUGGCAUGGUGGCGGGUGCUUGUAGUCCCAGCUACUCGGGAGGCUGAGGCAGGAGAAUGGCAUGAACCUGGGAGGCGGAGCUUGCAGUGAGCCGAGAUUGUGCUACUGCACUCCAGCCUGGGCAACAGAGCAAGACUCCAUCUCAAAAAAAUAAUAAUAAUAAAUAAAUAAAGAAG
rnacentral:lncRNA from 10 species